AAGGGGGUAGGAAGAAGGAGGUAUCUUGGUGAAUGUUAAAUGCAUAAAGAAAAUGUUUACUCAGGGCUCAAGAG